rnacentral:lncRNA from 1 species
GAGACAGUAGGAAGUGCCACCAAGCCGCCUCCAUGGGCUCCGUCGACGCUGCCUCCACCGCCCGCCCCCUCCAUGUUGUAUUCUUUCCCCUGAUGAGUCCCGGCCACAUGAUCCCCAUGGUCGACAUGGCCCGCCUCUUCGCCCUCCGCGGCGUCCGCUCCUCCGUCGUCACCACCCCGGGCAACGCUCACAGCGUCCGCCCCGCCAUCGACGCCGCCGCCGCCCUCGGCCACCCCCUCGCCCUCCACCUCAUCCCCUUCCCCGACCCUUCCGCCACCGGGCUCGCCCCCGCCUGCGAGAACCUCUCUGAUGUCCCCGCCGCCCAGUUCGACAACUUCGUCAACGCCCUGUUCCUCUUCCAGGCCCCGGUCGCCGCCCUCCUCCGCGACCUCCGCCCCGACGCCCUCCUCUCUGACUCGCUUUUCACGUGGACGGCCGACCUCGCGGCUGACCUCGGU